rnacentral:rRNA from 1 species
GAUGAACGCUAGCUACAGGCUUAACACAUGCAAGUCGAGGGGAAACGGCAUCGAAAGCUUGCUUUUGAUGGGCGUCGACCGGCGCACGGGUGAGUAACGCGUAUCCAACCUGCCCAUCACUUGGGAAUAACCUUGCGAAAGUAAGACUAAUGCCCAAUGACAUCCCACGAAGGCAUCCGAAUGGGAUUACAGAUUUAUCGGUGAUGGAUGGGGAUGCGUCUGAUUAGCUUGUUGGCGGGGUGACGGCCCACCAAGGCAACGAUCAGUAGGGGUUCUGAGAGGAAGGUCCCCCACAUUGGAACUGAGACACGGUCCAAACUCCUACGUGAGGCAGCAGUGAGGAAUAUUGGUCAAUGGGCGAGAGCCUGAACCAGCCAAGUAGCGUGCAGGAUGACGGCCCUAUGGGUUGUAAACUGCUUUUAUAAGGGAAUAAAGUGGGUCACGUGUGACUUUUUGCAUGUACCUUAUGAAUAAGGACCGGCUAAUUCCGUG